UACAGAGGUCUCAAGCGUUGUUCGGAUUCAUUGGGCGUAAAGGGUGCGUAGGCGGCGGGGUAAGUCAGGUGUGAAAUCUCGGGGCUCAACCCCGAAACUGCACUUGAUACUGCCUUGCUCGAGUACUGGAGAGGAGAUUGGAAUUUACGGUGUAGCAGUGAAAUGCGUAGAUAUCGUAAGGAAGACCAGUGGCGAAGGCGGAUCUCUGGACAGCUCCUGACGCUGAGGCGCGAAGGCUAGGGGAGCAAACGGG
rnacentral:rRNA from 1 species